ensembl:lncRNA
CACAGUGCACAUCCCAAAGGCACUUCCCAGUCAGUGCCUUGCACACAAACCUCAGUCUCCCGGAGAGCCUGUCCCACAACACCUUGCCGUGUGCCAAGCACUGUUCGAAGCAUUUACACAUAUUAGUUCAUGUGAUCCUCCCAACAGCCCCAGGAGGGAGGUAUUUUCGUCAUCCUCAGUUUACGGAUGAGAAAAACGGAGGAGGAACAGAAAGGCUAAGUAAACUGUGCAAGGUCACAGAGCUAGCGAGCGGUAAAGCCAGGAUUCCUGUGCAAGUGGUCAGACUCAGGAGCUUUGAGGGGCUGUUACACAACACUGUCUUCCAGAACAUUCCUGUGGUCUAGUCUCAGGGAAAUUAAAGAAAGGAAACAGCUGAAGCUAUAUUCUGAUUUCAGGGGAAAACAUCUUUGCUGCCCAAUUCUGUCACACCAGCCUCCUGCUGGUGCCUGAACAUGUAGCCCCGGGGCUUAAUCUUAGUUCAGUGGUUCUCAUCUGGGGGCGAUUUGCUCCCCAGAGGACAAUCGGCCAAGUCUGGAGCCUUGUGGUUGUCAGACCUGGGGGGAUGCUAAGGGCACUUAGCAGGUGGAGGUCAGGGGUGCUUCUACAUGUCCUACGAUGCACAGGGCUGUCCCCUGCCCCCCGCCCCCCCUCCAAAUCCAGCCCAAAAUGUCAGCUUGGGAAACUCUGCGGUCAAGAUUAAGGUGUGGUCUCCCGGCUGGUUUUCCCCUGAAGGGGUCCAGUGUGAGGCUACUUUGGUGAAAGUGGUCAGAGACACUGCAGCGUGCGGCGGAGAGAGGGUCUCAAAAGCAAAUCUCCUACCUCACAGUCCUUAAAGAACAAGUAUCAUCCCAAUGGGACAGCUGAGGACUCUGGAGCACCAAGAAGUCACAUGAGCGAGGAGAGAGGACCUGAUGGCCAUGGACACUCACUCCCUCUCUCAUAAGCUCGCAACACAUCAGCCCAGCAGGCCCAAGUUGGUUCAAGGAAAGAUCACAAGCUACGAGAUCCCAGGUGACCCACUCGUCCCUCACCUCUGACCUUACUCCUGCCACUCUGUCCCUUACCCAUUGCUGGCCACACUGUAUUCCUUAACAUGCUAAGCCCACUCCUGCCUCAGGGCCUUUGCACCUGCCAUUCCUUCAUCACUGAAUACUCUUUUCCAGCUAUCUGGUCUCAAUCCAAAUGUUACCCUCUUGGAGAGGCCAGGCAUUCCCUAACUACUCCAUAAAAGGACAAUACUUUCCCUCCUCCCUAUUCUCAUUACCUUGCUUUGUUUUUUCCUCAGCACUUAUCACCAUCUGAUGUACAAUAUAUUUAUUUGUUUAUCUCUGGCCUUCUUCCUUCUCAUCCCCAAACUGAUCUAUUGAAUGUCCGUUUUCACUGGUCCUGAUUUUUAAUUUUAGAUAUAUAUUUUUACCAUUUACUGUUUUUGUUAUAAGGUGUCUCUAAUCCAUUGUAGAAUAAAAAGAAAUAGAAGGAGCUGGCUCAUAAUUACAUGAUUAAUGGCAGAACCAUUCAUUAGACUAGUCCUGCUAAUAUUUUUCUACUAAGGUUUCCAAAUAGCAAAGUGGAGCAAAGAAACCCACCAACUGACCUCCCCAAGCUUUAGGAGAAGAGCCUGAAACUGCCCCCAAAAAGCAAAAUUUCCUUGAGGCUUUACCUUUCAUGGAUACUUUUCACUUUAUUUCCUAAUAUAUUUACACUUGUUCAACAAUAAAACCUUUUCCUCAAAGUUUUUCAGUAAAAAUAACUCCACUAACCAGGUACCCAAUAAGAAAAGCUGGGGCUGAGCCAUGCUGCUGGUCUGGGGGUCCCAGGGCUCCCCUGCUGCCCCUGCCUCCAGGGAGACUCCUGGUGGAUGUUUCCCUGUAGCUCUGUGUCCGUAGUGGGCCUUAGCUUCCUAAAAGGAUACUUUGUUAUCUCUUAGUUCCCACCAUGCUGAAUGUUAACAAUGGGCUUUAUUUGUGAAUGUGGUUGGAUGGAAGAAGCCAGAAUGUGGAGGAAACAAGAUGGCGGGGAGAGUGGGACUGAGGGGCUGGAUGGCUGGACAGAUGCUCCAACAGGACGUGGGCUCCCGGAGGUACUGUCAGGGCGCGUGAGCGGUUGAAGGAGCAAGGUCUCAGGGUAGUGAUAGCUCCUACCGUCCUCAGAGCCGAGGCCUGCUCAGGCGUGGCUGCCUUCUGUGCAGUAGGAGUCUCUGCAGCGAAGGGGCCCAGGCCGUUUCUGUAAUAGUGGUGGUUUCUAGGGUGGGGAACGGGGUGGCUGAGAAAUGGCCUGAGAAGGAGGACUUAGUUUUUACUGUUUAUCCUUUUGCACCUUUAAAAUUUUGUCCUGUGUCCAUUUAUUACGUGAAUGAAUGUAAAUAAAAUAUUUAAAAU